AUUACUGGGCUUAAGCGUUCGUAGCUGGUUUGUUAAGUCUCUGGGGAAAUCUUCCGGCUUAACCGGAAGGCGUCUCAGGGAUACUGGCAGACUAGGGACCGGGAGAGGUGAGGGGUACUCCAGGGGUAGGAGUGAAAUCCUGUAAUCCUUGGGGGACCACCUGUGGCGAAGGCGCCUCACCAGAACGGCUCCGACAGUGAGGGACGAAAGCUGGGGGAGCAAACCGGAUUAGAUACCCGGGUAGUCCCAGCUGUAAACGAUGCGCGUUAGGUGUAUCAGUGACCACGAGUCACUGAGGUGCCGAAGAGAAAUCGUGAAACGUGCCGCCUGGGAAGUACGGUCGCAAGGCUGAAACUUAAAGGAAUUGGCGGGGGAGCACCACAACAGGUGGAGCCUGCGGUUUAAU
rnacentral:rRNA from 1 species